AGAUGAAACAAGUCUGGCAGAAGAUGUGCAACUGGAGCAGGUGUCUCUAACACCAGCCAUCAUUGUCUGUGGACAAUCAUGCUAUUCCUCAACAAGGUACAUGCUGAGUCUCGAUCAGACCCUUAUCAACACAAACAUCCCCUCCUUCAUUUCUGCGUUGUGCCUGAUGUUCGGGAGCUACUACUGUUUUAACAUCCAUUAUCCAUCUGAGCUGGCUUCAACUCUGGAAUUUCUUCAAAGGUGUUUUUUCACGAUAAAUCCAGAAAAGGGAACCAAAGUGGAGAAUAAAAACUCAAAGCGUCGUCUCAACCUGAACCCCCGAGUCCUCACCCUGAUACAGGAAAUCACCGAUCACGAGUGGUGUGA